GGCCUGCUAGCUCAGUUGGUUAGAGCGUGGUGCUAAUAGCGUUGAAAUGGUGAAAACACCGUUGCAAUGGCGACGCCAAGGUCCUCGGUUCGACCCCGUGGUGGGCCA